UUUCCGUAGGUGAACCUGCGGAAGGAUCAUUUAAGAAAAUUACUGAAUUUUUGAGCUGCCUGUGUGGCUGCAGACAGAGAGCUAAGCCUGUGCGCCUGCGCUUAAUUGCGCGGCUGCGGGUGGCGUUCUUGCUAUUGGCUGUAGUUUGCGCGGUGGUUUUUGAUUUCAUUUCACACUGUGAAGAUUUUUUCAUACUUUACUUCUUUGUGUUGUUUUUUCAGCCCAAAGGUUAUAAACACAAACAACUUUUUUUUUUUAUUACAGACAAUCAAGAAAUUUCUAUUGAAAUAAAAUAUUUUAAAACUUUCAACAACGGAUCUCUUGGUUCUCGCAUCGAUGAAGAACGCAGC
rnacentral:misc_RNA from 1 species